UACAGAGGGUGCGAGCGUUGUCCGGAAUCACUGGGCGUAAAGGGCGCGUAGGUGGCGAUCCAAGUCAACGGUGAAAGCUCGACGCUCAACGUCGAGUCGGCCGUCGAGACUGCGAGGCUCGAGCACUGUAGAGGCAGAUGGAAUUCCGGGUGUAGCGGUGGAAUGCGUAGAGAUCCGGAAGAACACCGGUGGCGAAGGCGGUCUGCUGGGCAGUUGCUGACACUGAGGCGCGACAGCGUGGGGAGCAAACAGG
rnacentral:rRNA from 1 species